rnacentral:rRNA from 1 species
GAGUACGGCCGCAAGGCUGAAACUUAAAGGAAUUGGCGGGGGAGCACUACAACGGGUGGAGCCUGCGGUUUAAUUGGACUCAACGCCGGAAAACUCACCGGGGGCGACAGCAAUAUGUAGGUCAGGUUAAAGGUCUUACCUGAAUCGCUGAGAGGAGGUGCAUGGCCGUCGUCAGUUCGUACUGUGAAGCAUCCUGUUAAGUCAAGCAACGAGCAAGACCCGUGCCCACUGUUACCAGCAUAUCCUUUAUGGAUGAUGGGGACUCUGUGGGGACCGCUGCUGCUAAAGCAGAGGAAGGUGCGGGCUACGGUAGGUCAGUAUGCCCCGAAUCUCCCGGGCUACACGCGGGCUACAAUGGUUGGGACAAUGGGUAUCUACUCCGAAAGGAGUUGGCAAUCUCUUAAACCCAAUCGUAGUUCGAAUUGAGGGCUGUAACUCGCCCUCAUGAAGCUGGAAUCCGUAGUAGUCGCGUUUCAACAUAGCGCGGUGAAUCUGUCCCUGCUCCUUGCACACACCGCCCGUCAAACCAUCCGAGUGAGGUAUGGGUGAGGGCACGAACUUAGUGCCGUGCUCGAACCUAAAUUUCGCAAGGAGGGUUAAGUCGUAACAAGGUAGCCGUAGGGGAAUCUGCGGCUGGAUCACCUCCU